AGGAAGGAAGGAAGGAAGGAAGAAAGACAUCUGGAAGUUGGAAGUAAUAGAAAACGGACUUGUCCGCAUACCCGUCCGUAUUCGUUAGAAGGAAACGGAUUGAAUUGGAUUGUUCCGACGAUUCUUCAAAAAGCCAGCGUCUCUUUAUAAGGGGAGUAUAAAAAUUCUAUUCCCUCUUGUUUUAUCUUGGAGGGCUGCGAGAGAAGAAGGAAACGGGAUCUCCUUUUCUUCAUGAAUAUAGGAAAGAAGAAAGGGAGAUCGACAUGAAGGAAGUAGCAGCAAAAGUAAUAAGGAGUAAGGUGGAGUCGUAAGAAGAGAAGGAAAACAAAACAGGAAUGGGUCGGGGGAAGCUCGCUAGAGACGGUAUACGAAAAUGGUCCGCCUGGUGCAAGCUGUUGCGGAGGAAAGUUUUUCGCGCGAAAACUGGAAAGAACUUUCGUCUACCACUUUAAAUCGAAACAGCAGUCGAAGAAGAAGUUACACGAACACGGGUACAUGGAGAAAUGCUUGGAAGAAAAUCUACGAAAAGUGCGAGAGAUUGAGAGAUCCCCUUUUGCUGGCAGCAACUUCGUUCGAGCUUGAAGCUUAGUUUAACUCGUUAAUUUCGCGGCUACGCAUACAAAUCGACGUUACACUCGAGGAGUACUUUCGCGUUCGU